UAAUUCAUGUUCACAUCCCAUCUUUCUUGAAGUAAAAAGAAAAAUGCUCUGUAAAAAGCAAGACAGAAUAGGAAAUCAGAAAAAGUCCUAUCUACAAACUUAAAUACAUCAUUACAGCUGAAACUUAAUCAGAAUUUUAGCUGUACAAAAAGCCAAGAAAUAACAAUGGCAGGGGUAGAUUAUGUACCUCUAUAACAUAAGAGGUUCUCUAGUCUUCAUGUUCAAAGCUAAGCUAUUUAAACAGCCAUCUAGCAAAAUCCCUUCCCUUCAUCAGUGCUGGGAGCAGCUAGCCUUGAGAUGCAGAGCCACUGCCCAAAAGAGAAGUCAGCCCCACACAGACUAUGUCCCAUGCUGUGACACCUCGCCUUGCAGCACAGCCACGCAGCUUCUAAGUGCCUUGGGCCAAACCUGCUCCUUACCAGGAAACACCACAUCCCUAUUGUAAAUGAAGGAAAAGGUCACGAAGAAUUUAGCAAGUGGUUUCCUUUGAAUUCCCUGGCUACCAGUGCCUUUGCACCCGCAGUUUGCAGGCUGGUGUGCUCAGUCCCCAGGGCUGGGGCUGUGGCCAUCUCCCAGCUGCUGGCUCUGUGCCCAGUGGAGCCGGGUGGCCCGCACGGAGUUGCCGUCGCUUUGCGGAGAUUAAUGUGAUUGGAUAGAUCACAUCCAUCAAGAUCCCUCGCAUUCCCAGGAGGAUGAUUAAUUAGUGUAAUCUUAUUUAAACUCGGAAUUACACUUGAAGCAGUCACCAUUUGGAUUUUCGAAUGGCCCAGUUGAGGAGUUCAUUUACAAGCAGAAAGACAAACAAGGAGGAAAACCUCAUCAACUUAAACAAAAGAUUUCUCUUUGCUCAGAAAUCACCUAUUGUCCAGAGUGCAACAGGUGGAAACACCUUCUGUUAUGAUCUGUGUUUCCAUACAAAUGGAGAACUGCCCAGGGUAGCCUAGUGGUUAAAGAUUAGGACUUCUAACUGCAGACUUCUAUUCCUGGCUUUGCAAGGGACUUUUGCAACCACCAGUCAGAGGCUGAAAUUUCUUCCAGUGACA